rnacentral:rRNA from 1 species
GGGUGAGUAUAAUGUGGGAAUCUGCCUUUUGGUCUGGAAUAACACGAGGAAACUUGUGCUAAUACCGGAUAAGCCUUUACAGGGAAAGUUUUAAUGCCAAAAGAUGAGCCCGCACUUGAUUAGCUAGUUGGUAAGGUAAUAGCUUACCAAGGCUACGAUCAAUAGCUGUUCUUAGAGGAAGACCAGCCACAUUGGGACUGAGACACGGCCCAAACUCCUACGGGAGGCAGCAGUGGGGAAUCUUGCACAAUGGGGGAAACCCUGAUGCAGCGAUGCCGCGUGAGUGAAGAAGGCCUUUGGGUUGUAAAACUCUUUCGUCGGGGAAGAAAAUGACUGUACCCGAAUAAGAAGGUCCGGCUAACUUCGUGCCAGCAGCCGCGGUAAUACGAAGGGACCCAGCGUAGUUCGGAAUUACUGGGCCUAAAGAGUUCGUAGGUGGUUAAAAAAGUUGAUGGUGAAAUCCCAAGGCUCAACCUUGGAACUGCCAUCAAAACUUUUUAGCUAGAGUAUGAUAGAGGAAAGUGGAAUUUCUAGUGUAGAGGUG